rfam:Colwellia sp. PAMC 21821, complete genome.
AAAUAUUUUUUUCGCCGAGCUAUCUUAGCUAAAUUCGUUGCUAUGCAACCAACAUGCUCUUUUAGCCGUAAACCAAAUUUAAUUUUUGAGUUUGCCAGGGUUAACAAGGAAACUUGUUUACCUCCCGACUUUGGAAAGGUGACAUGUUAACAGACAA